CACAAGCCCAUCGGCGAGGCCCGCUAAGACCAGAUGGGCAAACUGGAAUUGGAUGAUGACAGUCACAUUUUAACAAAGCAACACCAGUAAAGGCUUCUUGUGCAUUUAGUGAGGGCGCCUAUGCACAGACAGGCCCCUCAGGGUGGAUGAAACCAGAGCUGGCUGAGCCGUGCCUGAAUCCUGUGGGCGGAGGAGCCCGGAAAAGCCAGGGAGCUGCCCCCCACUGAGGGGCAGCUUCUCAAAGGAGGGGACAAGGCCCCGGGUCUUGAGAACUGAAUCGGAGGCCGUCUGGGAAGAGGUCACCCUUCCUGCCAACAGUGUGAAGGACCCCAACCCUGACAGAGACCAGACCCUGGGAUCUGGAAUGUGUAUCCUGAGUGCAUUCUGCCACUGCCUCUUAGCCACCUUCCCUGAUGCUGUCUGGGAUGCAGGCAUUGCAUGCAGUUCACGUCGGAAGAUUCCACACUGCAAUCCAGAGACCAAAAGGAGCCCAUUGCGAUCUGGCUCUGGGGGACCCUGGGAUGAUAUCCCUACCCCCAGGGACAGGAACCAACCCCCGGGGACCUGGAGAGACUCUGUGCCCUGCAGGACCGAUGGGGGACUCCUCCCUGUAUGUACGUGUGCGUGGCCCUGCCUUGUUCUUGCCCCGGACCUGGCCUGGUGAAGGAGGCACGAGGAAGAUUGCAGUCAGGGACGCUCAGCCUGGGAGCUGACCCUCAGGUGAGGCCCUAAGGAAGUUCCCAGACCUCCCUGAACCUCAGUAUGCUCAUCUGUCCAGCAGCAACCCUGGGCCUUAAGUGAGAACAUCUAUGCGGAAGAGGCAGGUGCCAAUCAAGCCCUCUGUAAAGUUACCUCCCCUUUUCCCUUCUUCUCCUCUCACAGAGCUGAAGAAUAUUUUGCAAAGUUCAUUGUAAACAUUAAAAUAAUCUUGGGUGUUUAUCAUUCGUUAAACCUGUUGGGCUGACUUUAGGUCUACCGCUCUCAAAAAACCAAGAAUAAAUGGCACAGGGAGCUGAGUUCCGUGUCUGGUUAUGGGCAGUGGAGAUGGGGGCUGAGGAGUCUCAGCAUCCCCUGUCCCCAGCCUGGCUUCUCACAGAACAAGGGGACGGGCAGGAUGGCUGCAAGGUCACCAUGGUGACCUGAAUAACCAUGGGAAGUGCCUGAGGCUCUCCUGAGCUCAAUGGCCGCCAC
rnacentral:lncRNA from 10 species